rnacentral:rRNA from 1 species
GAACGCUGGCGGAAUGCUUUACACAUGCAAGUCGAACGGUAGAGGGGGCAACCCCUUGAGAGUGGCGAACGGGUGAGUAAUAUAUCGGAACGUGCCCAGUCGUGGGGGAUAACGUAGCGAAAGUUACGCUAAUACCGCAUACGAUCUAAGGAUGAAAGCGGGGGAUCGCAAGACCUCGCGCGACUGGAGCGGCCGAUAUCAGAUUAGGUAGUUGGUGAGGUAAAGGCUCACCAAGCCAACGAUCUGUAGCUGGUCUGAGAGGACGACCAGCCACACUGGAACUGAGACACGGUCCAGACUCCUACGGGAGGCAGCAGUGGGGAAUUUUGGACAAUGGACGAAAGUCUGAUCCAGCCAUUCCGCGUGCAGGAUGAAGGC